AGGACGAACGCUGGCGGCGUGCUUAACACAUGCAAGUCGAGCGGAAAGGCCCUUCGGGGUACUCGAGCGGCGAACGGGUGAGUAACACGUGAGUAAUCUGCCCCUAGCUCUGGGAUAGCUCCGGGAAACCGGGAUUAAUACCAGAUACGACCACUUUAGACAUCUGUUGUGGUGGAAAGAAUUUCGGCUAGGGAUGAACUCGCGGCCUAUCAGCUUGUUGGUGGGGUAAUGGCCUACCAAGGCGACGACGGGUA
rnacentral:rRNA from 1 species